rnacentral:rRNA from 1 species
UACAGAGGGGGCAAGCGUUGUUCGGAAUUACUGGGCGUAAAGGGCUCGUAGGCGGCCAACUAAGUCGGACGUGAAAUCCCCAGGCUCAACCUGGGAACUGCGUCCGAUACUGGAUGGCUUGAAUCCGGGAGAGGGAAGUGGAAUUCCCGGUGUAGUGGUGAAAUGCGUAGAUAUCGGGAGGAACACCAGUGGCGAAGCGAAC